GAUGAACGCUGGCGGCGUGCCUAAUACAUGCAAGUCGAGCGAACGGACGAGAAGCUUGCUUCUCUGAUGUUAGCGGCGGACGGGUGAGUAACACGUGGAUAACCUACCUAUAAGACUGGGAUAACUUCGGGAAACCGGAGCUAAUACCGGAUAAUAUUUUGAACCGCAUGGUUCAAAAGUGAAAGACGGUCUUGCUGUCACUUAUAGAUGGAUCCGCGCUGCAUUAGCUAGUUGGUAAGGUAACGGCUUACCAAGGCAACGAUGCAUAGCCGACCUGAGAGGGUGAUCGGCCACACUGGAACUGAGACACGGUCCAGACUCCUACGGGAGGCAGCAGUAGGGAAUCUUCCGCAAUGGGCGAAAGCCUGACGGAGCAACGCCGCGUGAGUGAUGAAGGUCUUCGGAUCGUAAAACUCUGUUAUUAGGGAAGAACAUAUGUGUAAGUAACUGUGCACAUCUUGACGGUACCUAAUCAGAAAGCCACGGCUAACUACGUGCCAGCAGCCGCGGUAAUACGUAGGUGGCAAGCGUUAUCCGGAAUUAUUGGGCGUAAAGCGCGCGUAGGCGGUUUUUUAAGUCUGAUGUGAAAGCCCACGGCUCAACCGUGGAGGGUCAUUGGAAACUGGAAAACUUGAGUGCAGAAGAGGAAAGUGGAAUUCCAUGUGUAGCGGUGAAAUGCGCAGAGAUAUGGAGGAACACCAGUGGCGAAGGCGACUUUCUGGUCUGUAACUGACGCUGAUGUGCGAAAGCGUGGGGAUCAAACAGGAUUAGAUACCCUGGUAGUCCACGCCGUAAACGAUGAGUGCUAAGUGUUAGGGGGUUUCCGCCCCUUAGUGCUGCAGCUAACGCAUUAAGCACUCCGCCUGGGGAGUACGACCGCAAGGUUGAAACUCAAAGGAAUUGACGGGGACCCGCACAAGCGGUGGAGCAUGUGGUUUAAUUCGAAGCAACGCGAAGAACCUUACCAAAUCUUGACAUCCUUUGACAACUCUAGAGAUAGAGCCUUCCCCUUCGGGGGACAAAGUGACAGGUGGUGCAUGGUUGUCGUCAGCUCGUGUCGUGAGAUGUUGGGUUAAGUCCCGCAACGAGCGCAACCCUUAAGCUUAGUUGCCAUCAUUAAGUUGGGCACUCUAAGUUGACUGCCGGUGACAAACCGGAGGAAGGUGGGGAUGACGUCAAAUCAUCAUGCUCCUUAUGAUUUGGGCUACACACGUGCUACAAUGGACAAUACAAAGGGCAGCGAAACCGCGAGGUCAAGCAAAUCCCAUAAAGUUGUUCUCAGUUCGGAUUGUAGUCUGCAACUCGACUACAUGAAGCUGGAAUCGCUAGUAAUCGUAGAUCAGCAUGCUACGGUGAAUACGUUCCCGGGUCU
rnacentral:rRNA from 1 species